rnacentral:rRNA from 1 species
UACGGGAGGCAGCAGUGGGGAAUAUUGGACAAUGGGCGCAAGCCUGAUCCAGCCAUGCCGCGUGAGUGAUGAAGGCCCUAGGGUUGUAAAGCUCUUUCACCGGUGAAGAUAAUGACGGUAACCGGAGAAGAAGCCCCGGCUAACUUCGUGCCAGCAGCCGCGGUAA